rnacentral:lncRNA from 1 species
UUUACUGAUAUUUUUUAUUGAGGUUUGUAGCUUAUGAUUUUACAUGUGAUUGUACAGAAGAUUUAAGGGGGAAAAAAAAGUUGGAAACGUUGUACAAGGGAAAAAUCCAAUAGAUUGAAAUCUGUUAAGUGUGUAUGAUAAUUUUAAUGCCAUGUGUAAAUAUAUGAGAAUGUAAGAGACCAAAGCCUGCAAUAGCUAUAUUCUAGUAUCUAAAAAAGUGAUUUUUAUCAAUGAGAAAUGGUUCAUUAUUUGUUAGUUUUUAAAAUAAACUAUCAUUUUUAAAAAGAUGUAUUUUGAAUUAGAUUUAAUGCUUGGCAAGUGGGAAAACAGUAUGAAAAAACUUUUUUAAUUAUCCUUCCAUUUUCCAAUAUAUUCACAGAAACCAUUAAGGGAAAUCAAGUUGACCCUCUCUACAAUUCUUGACUUUGUAGUUCAUAGGCAAAGAUCAGUGUUAGAAUAUACAAAUAAGACCUGUUUAUAAAUGAACACAUUCUGAUUGUCCACAGCUGCUUCAAGACAUAUCAUCUUAUAUUAUUUAGGAUGGUAAAGGAAAUCUCUAUUUUCAAAUGAGGCAUGAAAAUCAAUUUUAAAUGUUUUUUCCUAAUCUCUUGAUUCAUGAUGUCAUUCAAAACAUAAGACAUGGUGACAAAUUGAAAUUCAAGGCAUUAAAAAAUGCACUAGAGGACAAGGCAGUGGUCAGCGUAAGAAGACAUUCUGUUUAGUCACUGUAUCCUGAGUUCCAUCCCCAAAGACCUCUACCUACUACCAAAGAGUUGUUGCUAUUUUGCCUUUUGAGGUCAACCAAUAUAUUUCAUUUUGAAUCUGGCUCUAUUUUACCUGCUUCACUUUCAGAAGAAUCAGAGGAAUUCUUAACAUUUAAAAGCCAAUUUGGGUAUGGAUUUUAUACCUAUUUCCCUGCCAAUAUAUUGUGAAAUUCUGCACUCUUGGGCCAUUGAGACAAACUUAACUCCUUUAAAAUUUAAAAUUAUCCAACAUUGGGCUAACUGUAGACUUUAAUAACCUUUCCCUCAGACCACAAAAUGGAACAUUUUCC